rnacentral:tRNA from 1 species
UUGGGAUAUAGCUCAGUUGGUAGAAUGCUUGCAUUACAUGCACAAAGCCCUGGGUUUGAUCCCCAGCACCAAA